rnacentral:lncRNA from 1 species
CUUCUCUGGUUCCCUGACCUCAGUGAGACAGCAGCCGGCCUGGGGACCUGGGGGAGACACGGAGGACCCCCUGGCUGGAGCUGACCCACAGAGUAGGGAAUCAUGGCUGGAGAAUUGGAUAGCAGAGUAAUGUUUGACCUCUGGAAACAUCACUUACAGGGCUUCCGGUCAAAAUUCACUAGGUAGGAGGGUCAUCAGCUGGGAAGAACCGGCGCCUGGGAAACCUGGCUGGAUAGGUAUGGGGGAGCCAGGCCAGUCCCCUAGUCCCAGGUCCUCCCAUGGCAGUCCCCCAACUCUAAGCACUCUCACUCUCCUGCUGCUCCUCUGUGGACAUGCUCAUUCUCAAUGCAAGAUCCUCCGCUGCAAUGCUGACUCACCAUCAUAUUUAAGAACAUGCAGGAAUGCAUUGAUCAGAAGGUGUAUCAGGCUGAGGUGGAUAAUCUUCCUGUAGCCUUUGAAGAUGGUUCUAUCAAUGGAGGUGACCGACCUGGGGGAUCCAGUUUGUC